rnacentral:rRNA from 1 species
UGCCCAGACUCCUACGGGAGGCAGCAGUGGGGGAUAUUGCACAAUGGGGGGAACCCUGAUGCAGCGACGCCGCGUGGGUGAAGGAGCGUUUCGGCGCGUAAAGCCCUAUCGGCAGGGAAGAAGGAGGACGGUACCUGACUAAGAAGCCACGGCUAACUACGUGCCAGCAGCCGCGGUAAUACGUAGGUGGCAAGCGUUGUCCGGAUUUACUGGGUGUAAAGGGCGUGCAGCCGGGAAGACAAGUCAGAUGUGAAAUCCCGCGGCUCAACCGCGGAACUGCAUUUGAAACUGUUUUUCUUGAGUACCGGAGAGGUCAUCGGAAUUCCUUGUGUAGCGGUGAAAUGCGUAGAUAUAAGGAAGAACACCAGUGGCGAAGGCGGAUGACUGGACGAUGACUGACGCUGAGGCUCGAAAGCGUGGGGAGCAAACAGGAUUAGAUACCCGUGUACC